rnacentral:tRNA from 1 species
GCCUGAUUGGCUCAGUCCAUUAAGUGUCCGACUUUGGCUUAGGUCAUGAUCUCAGGGUUCGUGGGUUUGAGCCCCACAUCAGGCU